AUUGAACGCUGGCGGCAUGCUUUACACAUGCAAGUCGAACGGCAGCGCGGGCUUCGGCCUGGCGGCGAGUGGCGAACGGGUGAGUAAUGCAUCGGAACGUGCCCAGUAGUGGGGGAGAGCCCGGCGAAAGCCGGAGUAAUACCGCAUACGACCUGAGGGUGAAAGCGGGGGAGCGAAAGGCCGCGCGCUAUUGGAGCGGCCGAUGUCGGAUUAGCUAGUUGGUGGGGUAAAGGCUUACCAAGGCGACGAUCCGUAGCUGGUCUGAGAGGACGACCAGCCACACUGGAACUGGGACACGGCCCAGACUCCUACGGGAGGCAGCAGUGGGGAAUUUUGGACAAUGGGGGCAACCCUGAUCCAGCCAUGCCGCGCGCGGGAAGAAGGCCUUCGGGUUGUAAACCGCUUUUGUUCGGGAAGAAAUCCUCUGGGCUAAUACCCCGGGGGGAUGACGGUACCGGAAGAAUAAGCACCGGCUAACUACGUG
rnacentral:rRNA from 1 species